GAUGAACGCUGGCGGCGUGCUUAACACAUGCAAGUCGAACGGGAAAUACUUCAUUGAGACUUCGGUGGAUUUGAUUUAUUUCUAGUGGCGGACGGGUGAGUAACGCGUGGGUAACCUGCCUUAUACAGGGGGAUAACAGUCAGAAAUGACUGCUAAUACCGCAUAAGCGCACAGGACCGCAUGGUCCGGUGUGAAAAACUCCGGUGGUAUAAGAUGGACCCGCGUUGGAUUAGCUUGUUGGUGGGGUAACGGCCCACCAAGGCGACGAUCCAUAGCCGGCCUGAGAGGGUGAACGGCCACAUUGGGACUGAGACACGGCCCAGACUCCUACGGGAGGCAGCAGUGGGGAAUAUUGCACAAUGGGGGAAACCCUGAUGCAGCGACGCCGCGUGAAGGAAGAAGUAUCUCGGUAUGUAAACUUCUAUCAGCAGGGAAGAUAGUGACGGUACCUGACUAAGAAGCCCCGGCUAACUACGUGCCAGCCGCCGCAGUAAAAC
rnacentral:rRNA from 1 species